CACCAGCCCCUCGAGUGGUGGGGAUGAUUAUUUGGCCUAAAGCGUCCGUAGCCGGCCGGGUAAGUUUCCCGUUAAAUCCAGCGUCUCAAGCGUUGGACUGCGGGAAAUACUGCCUGGCUAGAGAGUGGGAGAGGUGUACGGUAUUCUGGGGGUAGGGGCGAAAUCCUUUGAUCCCCGGAGGACCACCAGUGGCGAAGGCUGUACACUAGAACACGUCUGACGGUCAGGGACGAAAGCUGGGGUAGCGAACCGGAUUAGAUACCCGGGUAGUCCCAGCUGUAAACGAUGCAUGCUAGGUGUUGGGUUGGCCACGAGCCACCCCAGUGCCGCAGGGAAGCCGUUAAGCACGCCGCCUGGGAAGUACGAUCGCAAGAUUGAAACUUAAAGGAAUUGGCGGGGGAGCACCACCAGGCGUGAAGCCUGCGGUUU
rnacentral:rRNA from 1 species